AGUGAACGCUGGCGGUAGGCCUAACACAUGCAAGUCGAACGGCAGCACAGUAAGAGCUUGCUCUUACGGGUGGCGAGUGGCGGACGGGUGAGGAAUACAUCGGAAUCUACUUUUUCGUGGGGGAUAACGUAGGGAAACUUACGCUAAUACCGCAUACGACCUACGGGUGAAAGCAGGGGAUCUUCGGACCUUGCGCGAUUGAAUGAGCCGAUGUCGGAUUAGCUAGUUGGCGGGGUAAAGGCCCACCAAGGCGACGAUCCGUAGCUGGUCUGAGAGGAUGACCAGCCACAUUGGGACUGAGACACGGCCCAAACUCCUACGGGAGGCAGCAGUGGGGAAUCUUGCGCAAUGGGCGAAAGCCUGACGCAGCCAUGCCGCGUGAAUGAUGAAGGUCUUAGGAUUGUAAAAUUCUUUCACCGGGGACGAUAAUGACGGUACCCGGAGAAGAAGCCCCGGCUAACUUCGU
rnacentral:rRNA from 1 species